UUCGUGUUUCUCAGUAAAAGGGUUUGGAAACCCUAAGUGCCGCCUAGAGGCGGCCUUCUCUCUCUUGCGUCACUAUGCCAUUUUUGUCAUAAUUUCAGAAAGCUUUUGCUUUCCCCAGGGUUGUAUCACCUCAAGGGGUAACGCAUUAAAUGCAUUCAACCAUUCUUAUCAUAGAUCAACCAAACAAGGCAUUUGAAAAUUCGAAUUUGUGAUUGGUUCUUGCAGAACUUUGUGGACUAACUUUUUGGGUUAAAAUCUGUCUGUGGAUGUUUAUUUUAAAUCAAUCCUGACCCUUAAGAUGUGUGGAGGAAAUCCCAAUUCUUGGAUUUAUCCCACAUCGGUCAACUAGGGUUUGUUGGUUUUGGGGUUUCCUAUAUAAAGGGCCUCGAUUUUUCAUUUUUGAGGGGGAGAAAAAUUUAUUUUCACGAAAAAUAGAGGCUUAAACUCAGUUUUGGCAACAUUUGCUUUGAGAUUUAAGUUUAAGAAGUUAAUUUUAAAAUUAUUAUUUGGGUUUGUGGUUGAGUUUGAUUUGGGAAGGAAGAAUCUCCAAGUCCAAAUCUCAACUUAAGGCUACUCCAAGAAGAGGUAAUUCCCUAUUUUUUACUAAGUUUUUUCUUUUUAUGCAUUUUCUUUCUAUUUUAGCUGAUUAGUUUUUGAUAUGUAGGUAUUUGCAUACUAUUACUUUGGGUCUAUAUAGAUAAUAUGAUUAUGCAUUAGUCUAGUUCAUUUAAGUAAAUUACAUUUUUGCUUUAUAUUAAUAAUGGAAAUUAGGCAUUAGUGUAGGUGGAUGUUUGAGCACAUGUUGAUCAUAAUUACCUUAUUAAUGUCCACAUUUUGAUUAAGGGUUUGAAACCUUUUUGGAUUGGACUUAGUUUGGUUUAGUUCAUGUUGAUUGCUGUUGUUUUUUUUUUUUUCCAUUUUACCUUAAAUGAACUUAAGUUAUGGUUGUCUUAACAAUUUUGAUACAUAAGCAUAAUUUGGAUUAGGCUUAUUUAGCAGUCCAUUAGCUUCAUGUAAAAGUAACUAUGGCCUGUGAUUAGAGUGUUCUCUAAACCUAUACUAGUUAAAUUUAUUUAGCUUGAUAUCUGUGUCUAUGUGUACUGGUUAUUCUUAUGUUUAGUCCAUUUGCUAUGUUUACUUGAGUUUGUUGCUAGCAAAAAUGAUGUGAGAUAGGAGUGCACUUCUAACUAAACCUGCUUAUUUGGUUAAAGCUCUAUGUUUACUUGAGUCUAUGUGUUUUGAGAAGUUUGAGCUUAUGCUGUCAUUUUACAUGCUUAAGUCUCAAUCAAAGUCUAAAGUGCUGAGGAAAUCAGUUUAAGUGAAGUGUCUGCUGACCUUAACUUGACCCUAUCUCAAGUGAUAUUCUCAUGUGCAAAAGGAACACUAAUCUAUUAAUAGGAGUUGCACCCAAGUUAGGCAUUUGCUAUAUGAUUUAUUAAGGAUGUUGUAUGGUUGAGACACUGUUGAACAUGUUCUAUGCUUGAUUAAUCUUUGUUAUGUCUAUAUUAACUGAGAUCAUUUGGUCCCAUGUUAGUAAUGUGAAACAUGAAAUCCAUAAGGGCUCAAGUAGGCUACAGUUGAGUUCAUUUGAGGCUUCAUAGAUAGUUUUUGGAGAACUAGAGAGUCCAAGUCCCUAUACUUGCUCUAUGUGCUUGGUUUUGGACCCAGUUAGUUGAAUGUAUGGUCUCUAUGUAAAGUGUUGAAACUAAAUUUUUCUACAUAGACUCUAACUGUUGUGAUCAUGUUCUUGUUUUGUGGUCCACUUGAUUGUCAAAGUCUACCUCUACAUGGAUUAUUUUCCCACUCUUUAAAAAAAAAAAAAACUAGUUGUAACUGAGAAACAAGUCAGUACAAACAUGAUUGGUGUAUCAUCUUGCUUGAUUAAAUUCUUAUACAUAGCUGCAUCUAAAAAGGAAAUGGUUUUCUCUGUGAAUCAAGUGUUGUGUUAUAAAUUUUCUUGCGUUUAGAACUUAUAUGAGUAAACUUUUUGUGUUUGGGUUGAAAUCCUGUUUUAGUCCUUCAGGUUUUUCUCUUUGUAUAUUCUCUUAAGUUUGUCAAUACAAUCUGUUGAGACCUUUUUUUUAGCUUUCUUACUGUGCCCCUAGUUGUCCUAAUAUACACCUUGUUAAGCCACUACUUAAGUAAGAAUCUGUGUGUAGAAUGAGGUAUGUCAAUGAGCAGAUGAGAGUUUUAUAUGAGUGUUCUCAUUUAUGUAAGAAUCUGUGUAUAGAAUAAGGUAUGUCAAUGAGCAGUUGAGAGUUCUAUAUGAGUGUUCUUAUUUAUGUAAGAAUCUGUGUGUAGAAUGAGGUAUGACAAUGAGCAGCUGAGAGUUUUAUAUGAGUGUUCUCAUUUAUGAAGUGAAUUUGUGUGGAUAUAUGUUGCACAUAAGUGAUAUACACCAAUAUACCAAGCCCGUAUAAUUGUCACAUGUUCUAUAGCACAUGGGGAUUUAUAUGCUUGGUAUAUGAUGGGUAUAUCCUCCAUGUGAGGCUUUUUUUUUUUCUUUUUCUAAGUGUUGAUUCAGCUGCUAAGCUGUUUGGUUUUGAAUUUGCUUCUCCAUGUCUUGUUUGAACCUUAUUCUUAUUUAAUACGAAACACUUUAGGCAGCAGUUCCAGGCCAUAAUUGCCUUAAAUUAAAAUUUGUUUAGCUCUAUGUUGUUUUCUUUCUAAAAGUAUAUGAUUGGCAUUUGAAACUUGGGCCAUAUAUGUUUGGACCAGACCUUCAAGCUGCAUUUGAUUUAUCAUUGUGUGAUUGAAUACCAGUGUGAGAUCAGUAUAGUUAGCCUUUUAUUUUUAACUUGGCAUGCAAAUAUUGAACACCACCUCUCCUAUAUAUUGUGAGUUAACACAUAAAUGGAGAUGCCAAAUAGCACUCAAGGAUUAAGCUUGAGCCUUCCCUAUUAUUUGCCAUGCCUGGGGUUCCGAGAAACCCCUUGGAUCUUGUGCAACAUCAGGAAUGAGAGAGUAAAAGUUUUCCUUUUUGGGCUAUUUUAGCAUCUCCAUGGGUGUGUAUACCCAUGGUAUAUUUUAAAAGAUGUUGGUGUAUAUUUAGUUGCAUGGCAUUGUUUAUCCUAUAAAAAUUGGUUUUCUGGACUUGUUUGUUAUUUACGGAUAAUUGGGCCUGUUUCUACACUGUUUUAACUUAUAUGGGCUUUGAGGAAGCGAGCCCAUGAUUAUUUGCAAUUUUUUGAGGAGGCCCACCUAUUUGCUAAUUUUUCAUACUUAGUUAAAUUUCCAUCCCAUCAAAUAAUGUAUAUUGAAGUUAUCCGCCUUUGCAUAUAUUUGCUAUAUCAGUUCUUUUACCUUUAUGCAUAGUCUAAAAUUUCUUAAUUAUUAUCUCCUUCCUUUUUUGCUUGCAUGAAAUGCCAUCGUUGGGUGAUCUCUCUUGCAUAAAUCCAUUGGGCCAAAGGCCCAAUAGUUUCUUUUGAUCGAGUCAGCUGAGAAAAUAAAGGGAAGCUAAUAUUUACAUUUGAAGGCCCACCUAUGGGUAAAAAUAGGCAACUGGUCGGCUUAGGUAGGCCCACCAGCCUAAAUCUCCUCCUUCCUAUUUAUUUCCAUGAUGUAAAAUGUAUUUGUAAAACAUAUGUAAAUAUUGAAACCCUUUAUGCAUGCUUAGAAUGUAGGGAAAACGUAGUAUUAUUAGGAAAGUCGCCUGAAAAAAUGUCUUUUUACUUACUCAGCUAAUUCCCAAGUACAUGCAUAAAACUGGAUUAAGCGUUUCUAAAGACAAAGAGGUUUGUUUUAAAGUUGGAAAUCCGGUGUAAAGUUUGGUUAAGUAGGCAAGAAUUUGAAAAGAAAUUGACAAGGGUUAUGUGUUUUGGGCCUUCAGCCCCCUUUGAAAGAAUUUAUGAAAAAAAGGGACAAGUGUUUUGGGUUGUAGGGUCUAGUCAGAAAUUGAGUCCAUACUUAUAAAUUUUUGGGCAAAGAGUUGGAUUCUUUUGAUAAAAAAUGGACUGAAAAAAAACGGAUGCAAAGUUUAGUUGGGUGUAAACUUGGUUUUGAUAAAUGGCUCUGGACCAACUCAGUUUCAGAUUUGGGAAAAAUCUUGGGCCAAAACUCGAAUUUGAAAGUACAAAACAUUAUAAUAAAUGAUUUUAUUUGGACCAUGAUAAGGAAAGUGGUUUUGGAUAUGAAUAGGAUUUGACUUGUAUGAGCUUCAAAUAAAAAAUAAAAAUGGAUUAAGAGACAAACUUCUUUUCCCUUAUAUAUUUCUACUAUUUAGAAGAGUGAGUUUUACUCACUCUUCAUCGUCCGUCGUGGGCCCCCCCUAUAAAUUAAAAAAAAAAAAUUCCCCCCCCCCCCCACAAUAUUAAACAUGCCCACAAAAAUAAAAAAUAAAAAAUGAAAAAUUGUAAAAAAAAUAAAAAUUUUAGGCUCCCCCCCCCCAUAAAAAGUGAAACCCAUCACAUCCAAACUCACGGGAAAAAAAAAGUGAAACCCAAAAUAAUAAAAUCAAGCAAUAUUAAAAAAAAAAGUGAA